GUGCUCUUAUUGGUAGAAUGCAUUUAUAUUGUAGGUUCAAAUCCUACAGAGUACA
rnacentral:tRNA from 3 species